GAUGAACGCUGGCGGCGUGCCUAAUACAUGCAAGUCGAGCGAAUAGACUUGGAGCUUGCUCCUCUGACGUUACCGGCGGACGGGUGAGUAACACGUGGAUAACCUACCUAUAAGACUGGGACAACUUCGGGAAACCGGAGCUAAUACCGGAUAAUAUAUUUAACCGCAUGGUUCAAUAGUAAAAGCCAGUCUUGCUGUCACUUAUAGAUGGCUCCGCGCCGCAUUAGCUAGUUGGUAAGGUAACGGCUUACCAAGGCAACGACGCGUAGCCGACCUGAGAGGGUGAUCGGCCACACUGGAACUGAGACACGGUCCAGACUCCUACGGGAGGCAGCAGUAGGGAAUCUUCCGCAAUGGGCGAAAGCCUGACGGAGCAACGCCGCGUGAAUGAUGAAGGUCUUCGGAUCGUAAAACUCUGUUAUUAGGGAAGAACAAAUGUGUAAGUAACUAUGCACGUCUUGACGGUACCUAAUCAGAAAGCCACGGCUAACUACGUG
rnacentral:rRNA from 1 species